rnacentral:pre_miRNA from 1 species
UAUCAGAUUGCUGGGUUGCAUGGUAACUCUAUGCUUAACUUUUUGAGUAACUGCCAGAAUGUUUUCAAAAGUGGCUGUACCAUUUUACAUUUCCUCCAGCAAU